rnacentral:rRNA from 1 species
CCUACGGGGGGCAGCAGUGAGGAAUAUUGGUCAAUGGGCGCGAGUCUGAACCAGCCAAGUAGCGUGAAGGAUGACUGCCCUACGGGUUGUAAACUUCUUUUAUAAAGGAAUAAAGUGAGGUACGUGUGCCUUUUUGUAUGUACUUUAUGAAUAAGGAUCGGCUAACUCCGUGCCAGCAGCCGCGGUAAUACGGAGGAUCCGAGCGUUAUCCGGAUUUAUUGGGUUUAAAGGGAGCGUAGAUGGGAUGGUAAGUCAGUUGUGAAAGUUUGCGGCUCAACCGUAAAAUUGCAAUUGAUACUGGCAGUCUUGAGUGCAGUUGAGGUAGGUGGAAUUCGUGGUGUAGCGGUGAAAUGCUUAGAUAUCACGAAGAACACCGAUUGCGAAGGCAGCUUACUAAACUGCCACUGACAUUGAGGCUCGAAAGUGUGGGUAUCAAACAGGAUUAGAUACCCGUGUAGUC